CCCCCCCCCCCCCCCCCCCCCCCCCCCCCCCCCCCCCCCCCCCCCCCCCCCCCCCCCCGGGGCAGCCCGGCGGCCGGGCACCGUGCGCGGCGGGGCCACGCUUCCAGCACGCUGCUCGCACGGACACCGCCCCGCCGCGCCGAGUCCCAGACGUGAAGCUGGCUGUUCUGGGGACAAGGGGACAACCUGUUAGAAGCAGGCGUGGUUCUGAUUUCCUCAGAAGAAGCACAAAAGGAGAUGCUCUGUUCUUUGAAAAUAACUGGAGGCACUGGCAAGAAGCAGCAACACCGCAUCGAACAAGGGAACCGCUUCCAGGUUAUCCAAACAUGCUGUUGAACUGAAUUUUGCA
rnacentral:lncRNA from 1 species